CCUCUCACAUCAUGUUGUUCGAUACAUAUGCUGCAUUUUUGUAUGUCUCUCUGUGCAAGUAUGUGCAUAGUUUGUGCAUGCAGUGUCUGUGUGUAUGUGUAAGACAGUGACACACACACACACACACACACACACACACACACACGCACGCACGCACAGAGUUCAGCCGAUUUAUCAUAAUAUGCUUUAUCUGAAAAGUAAGUAUCUUACCUCGGGAUAAAGGGAGGAAAGAGGGGUUUGUGGCCAGAUUGACAGAGGAAGGGCGGAUGGAGAGAACUGAACGCUCACUACAGAGGGAAAGAGAGCGGAACCUUCAUCUGCCACGGCUGGAUUGAUCAUUAUUGAUAAGGUGUUUGUGGACUGAUGAUUGCCACCGUGCACUGCUCGAAACGAUGAGGACCCGAAGAACAUGAGAUCCCCACCAUCGAGUCGUCAUUUACACCUCUCACCUUUUCCCAAAUCUUUUUUCUUGUAUUGAAAAGGCCCAUUUAGUAAUAAACCUUGCAUUAUUUACAGUUGAGUUAGUGUUGAUACUUAACUUUAUAUCAGCUAAUCCAAUAUAAAUACUCAACUUAGUAUCAAUAGGCUAUAACUUAUUUAUUAAGUUUGUAUCAGUUGGGUUUGGCUGAUACAAAGCUGAAUAUUAACAUUGAACAGUUCCAGUAAAGGGAUACCAGAUAUUUCCUGUAUUUAUCUGUAUUUUCAUUUGUUUAUUUAUAUGUCUAACUCAGUGUCAUGUAUUUCUUGGUGGCCUUAAUCUCCACUGUGACACUUUAUCCAGGUAGUUGCAGUUGGCAUGGCUUUAGAUUAGGCCAAGAGAUUUCAUGUGGCAGGCUUUGUACCUUUAUGUACAAGUUAUUUUUAUCUAAGACAAGAGGCGACAUGCACUCUCCUGUAAGAUAGAGAGAACAAGAGACCAAAAGGAGAAUUAAGUUAAGAGGCCUAUCAUCGUAACUCAGGACCUUAUUUCACUAGUAGCUUUAAGGAGACUAUCAGGGGUUUGCUGCUCUCACUAAGAGUCAAUGACCCAAGCCUCUCAACCUAAAUCCUAAUUGUGUCUGCAAACAAGCUUAAGAUCCACUACCUCACUGUCACUCUUCCCCAGCCCACAGGUGCUCAAAGGUGAGUGUUCAUACACAAAAUUUACGUUUUUUGUUUUUUAUUCGCCUGCAUUAUUAGGUUAUUUAUUAUUAUUGAUAUAAUUACUCCCUGUCUUCCCCAAAGUGUAAUCACCAGAAAAUUGGAUAUUCACAAUCCUGCUAUCAGGGCUACAUAAAAAGGCAGGGCAGAUCAGCAGAAACUUUAAUUCUCAUAUCUAUAAUGCCUCACACACUGUUUGCCUUUCAGUUAAGGAUGAACACUGUUAUACUACUGAUUAUUUUACUGCUGAAGAUUAUGAUAUUGUAAAUGUCAAACAUUUUAAUGAUUAAAAUAAUUAUUAAAACCUUCUUUUUAAAAAAAGUCUAUUUUCAUUUUUUAUGUCUUCCUACUAUGUUUGGCCUUUGAUUCUCAAUAAAGUAAAGAAUUAUGUGUG